AUUUAUAUGUGCGUUAUAUCAGAUAACCCCAGAUCAACCAUGUAUAGCCCCAGGAGCCUGAUUCAAAAAUAUUUCACCCAACUUUCAGGAUAUUGAUCUUCCAAAGUCUUGAUCUUAGUCUCUUAGAAUAAAAGUCUUAAUCUCACAGCAGCUUUAUGUAAGAUUCAGGAGGUACAGGGAAUGAAAUGCUUUUAUUGUUCUGUUCUGAGAGAGACCACCAGGCUGGCCUACGGCAGUAUACUGUCUAAUCUUUCUGACAAAGUGAUUUGACAGGAUUUUUCUCAUACAUAAUACAAAUCUGUCACUUCCUGGAGGCUUCUCUUGCACGGUAUGUCCUGCCUCUUCUAAACUAAGGUUUAAUCUAAACUGUGUCCUUUUUGGCUUUUUUUCCAGGUACCAUCAUUUGAUCCAGGACGGUCUUUUUAUGGACCAUCAAAUGCCAUCACUGGGGGCCACAGUUAAAGUUGUGUUUCUUGUGAAAGUCCCAAAUGAAAGGCCAGAGGAACUCCUGCAAAGCUGCCACGCAGGCAGAGAUGCCAACCACAGACGGGCGCUCUGUCCACAGCUCUGCCUGAGGAUCAGCGACACACCCGUCGGGUGUAUCAGUUUACCUGGGUGAAGCUGAACUCCUGUCUCACGUUUUUCAAGUGAGAUGUCAUCGCUCCCAUUCGCUCUUCAAAGUCAGUCAGCUGAUUUUGCAGAAACCAAGUGAAAGGUUUAAACAUUUUUAACAAGCAGCAAAAGCGCCAGACCCAUUAAGUACUGCUUCUGCUCGAGGUAACCAGGAUUGCCCCAGACUCAGACGGCGGGCCGGCAUCCAGCACCGGCCAGCACCCAAACGUAUCCCAGGCGCUCCUGAGCUCCGCGGGCCGACCUGACAGAGCCUCCCGCGCACCCACCG
rnacentral:lncRNA from 1 species